rnacentral:lncRNA from 1 species
AUAAAAUUUUAAAAAAUAAUAUUUGAAGAAUAUAUAAUGGAUUGAAUAAAAGUGACCCCUAAAAAUGAAAUUCAAGCCCAAGAGAAAAAAUUAGUUAAGACAAAAUGGAGAAAUAAAAAAUGAUACAAAGACAAUAGCCAAAAUAAGUGAAUGGUUAGUAAGAUGAUUAAAGAAAAAGAGAUUGAAUUUAAGUGAAACGUGUAAUAAUAGAAAAAAUAUAUUGUUUC